rnacentral:rRNA from 1 species
UACGUAGGGGGCAAGCGUUGUCCGGAUUUAUUGGGCGUAAAGAGCGUGUAGGCGGCUAGGUAGGUCCGUUGUGAAAACUCGAGGCUCAACCUCGAGACGUCGAUGGAAACCAUCUAGCUAGAGUCCGGAAGAGGAGAGUGGAAUUCCUGGUGUAGCGGUGAAAUGCGCAGAUAUCAGGAAGAACACCCGUGGCGAAGGCGGCUCUCUGGUACGUGACUGACGCUGAGGUGCGAAAGCGUGGGGAGCAAACAGG